GACGAACGCUGGCGGCGUGCCUAAUACAUGCAAGUCGAGCGAAGUUUUUCUGGUGCCUGCACCGGAAAAACUUAGCGGCGAACGGGUGAGUAACACGUAAAGAACCUGCCUCAUAGACUGGGACAACUAUUGGAAACGAUAGCUAAUACCGGAUAACAGCAUUAACUGCAUGGUUGAUGUUUAAAAGUUGGUUUUGCUAACACUAUGAGAUGGCCUUGCGGUGCAUUAGCUAGUUGGUGGGGUAAAGGCCUACCAAGGCGACGAUGCAUAGCCGACCUGAGAGGGUGAUCGGCCACACUGGGACUGAGACACGGCCCAGACUCCUACGGGAGGCAGCAGUAGGGAAUCUUCCGCAAUGGGCGAAAGCCUGACGGAGCAACGCCGCGUGAGUGAAGAAGGAUUUCGGUUCGUAAAGCUCUGUUGUUAGGGAAGAAUGAUUGUGUAGUAACUAUACACAGUAGAGACGGUACCUAACCAGAAAGCCACGGCUAACUACGUG
rnacentral:rRNA from 1 species